UACAGAGGUGGCAAGCGUUGUUCGGAAUCACUGGGCAUAAAGAGCGCGUAGGCGGUCUGACAAGUCCCCUGUGAAAGCCCCCGGCUUAACCGGGGAACUGCAUGGGAUACUGUUGGGCUAGAGUGCAGGAGGGGAGAGCGGAAUUCCUGGUGGAGCGGUGAAAUGCGUAGAUAUCAGGAGGAACGCCGGCGGCGAAAGCGACUCUCUGGCCUGUAACUGACGCUGAGGCGCGAAAGCUAGGGGAGCAAACGGG
rnacentral:rRNA from 1 species